GGGGAAUAUUGCACAAUGGGCGAAAGCCUGAUGCAGCAACGCCGCGUGAGUGAUGAAGGCCUUCGGGUUGUAAAGCUCUGUCUUUUGGGACGAUAAUGACGGUACCAAAGGAGGAAGCCACGGCUAACUACGUGCCAGCAGCCGCGGUAAUACGUAGGUGGCAAGCGUUGUCCGGAAUUACUGGGCGUAAAGAAUGCGUAGGUGGAUAUGCAAGUCAGAUGUGAAAUACCCGGGCUCAACUUGGGUGCUGCAUUUGAAACUAUAUAGCUAGAGUGCAGGAGAGGAAAGCGGAAUUCCUAGUGUAGCGGUGAAAUGCGUAGAGAUUACGAAGAACACCAGUGGCGAAGACGGCGUUCUAAACUGUAACUGACAGUGAGGCAUGUAUGCGUGGGGAG
rnacentral:rRNA from 1 species